rnacentral:snoRNA from 1 species
GAGACUAUGAUGAUAAUGAUACUUAUCACACGUUCGAGUUUUACCGGCCAUGAGAUGAAAAGAUCCAUGCACCUCCAUCUGAGAUCUC